rnacentral:tRNA from 1 species
GCGGAUGUGGCGAAAUUGGCAGACGCACUAGACUUAGGAUCUAGCGCCGCAAGGCAUGUGGGUUCGACCCCCUCCAUCCGCACUA